rnacentral:rRNA from 1 species
UAAUACGUAGGUGGCAAGCGUUGUCCGGAUUUACUGGGCGUAAAGCGCGCGCAGGUGGUUCGUAACGUCCGAGGUGAAAUCUCCCGGCUCAACUGGGAGGGGUCUUCGGAUACGGGCGGACUUGAGGAGAGCAGAGGUGAGUGGAAUUCUGGGUGUAGUGGUGAAAUGCGUAGAUAUCCAGAGGAACACCAGUGGCGAAGGCGACUCACUGGGCUCCACCUGACACUGAGGCGCGAAAGCGUGGGGAGCGAACCGGAUUAGAUACCCGGGUAGUCCACGCCGUAAACGAUGGGCACUAGAUGUGAGGGGUAUUGACCCCCCUUGUGUCGUAGCUAACGCGUUAAGUGCCCCGCCUGGGGAGUACGGCCGCAAGGCUA